GAUUGUAUCCCUCAGAGGAUACUAUCUGUAGGAUUCUGUACCCAAGAAUCCUCUCCCUAUUUACAUAGAUACUGCUUAGCCCACUGGAUCCAGUCAUUCUAGAGACCCUGGCUUUCUGAUGUUUUAAUUCUUUAGGGUGGCUACUUGUCAUAUAAUAUUGUCUUCCUUGCUUCAGGCAA
rnacentral:lncRNA from 1 species